GAUGAACGCUGGCGGCGUGCCUAAUACAUGCAAGUCGAGCGAACAGAUGAGGAGCUUGCUCCUCUGACGUUAGCGGCGGACGGGUGAGUAACACGUGGAUAACCUACCUAUAAGACUGGGAUAACUUCGGGAAACCGGAGCUAAUACCGGAUAAUAUAUUGAACCGCAUGGUUCAAUAGUGAAAGACGGUUUUGCUGUCACUUAUAGAUGGAUCCGCGCCGCAUUAGCUAGUUGGUAAGGUAACGGCUUACCAAGGCAACGAUGCGUAGCCGACCUGAGAGGGGGGUCGGCCACACGGGAACUGAGACGCGGUCAAGACUCCUACGGGAGGCAGCAGUAGGGAAUCUUACGCAAUGGGCGAAAGCCUGACGGAGCAACGCCGCGUGAGUGAUGAAGGUCUUCGGAUCGUAAAACUCUGUUAUUAGGGAAGAACAAAUGUGUAAGUAACUAUGCACGUCUUGACGGUACCUAAUCAGAAAGCCACGGCUAACUACGUG
rnacentral:rRNA from 1 species